rnacentral:tRNA from 1 species
AGGGUGCCGGGGCUUCUCCCGCUUU